rnacentral:tRNA from 1 species
AUAUCAAUUAGAUAGAUAUGGCGCACGUUGUUUCCUAAACGCUAGGUCGUAGGUUCGAAUCCUAUCGGGGACGCCA